UCACCUGACAUGAUUGAAUUGCAACACUGCAGGAAUGAAAGACUGAUUUAUAAAAGACAUAACUGACAACUUGAGCAUGAAUAUUAAUGAAUGCUGGACAUAUUAUAACUCCAAAGUUAUAAUUAAACCUUUUUCUUGAGAAUUUAAGAAAAAGGAAAAAUAUCUGUUGCUGCAUCAUAUUAAUGAAGAAGGAAGAUUCAGGGGAAUCAACUGCUUCAGGUAGACAGAAGCUGAGGCAAAUGACAGGAUCUCAACCUGCCGUGCAGUGCUAGGACUCAAAUUUCUGGAGCAAAGACCAUCUCCAGGAUCAUAUUCAGCCACUGAGCCACAGCACCUGCAUAUUUUUGGAUAUGACAGAACAUAGAAAAUACUGAAUACAUGAUUGGAAGGGACUGGAUGUUAUAAAAACAAUUCAACUGGAGGAUAGGUUUGCCAU